rnacentral:rRNA from 1 species
CCCCUAGAUGUUCUGGGCCGCACGCGCGCUACACUGAACAGUUCAACAAGUCUUAACCUUGGCCGAUAGGUCUGGGUAAUCUUUGAACGCUGUUCGUGAUUGGGAUAGACCUUUGCAAUUAUGGAUCUUCAACGAGGAAUUCCUAGUAAACGCAAGUCAUCAGCUUGCAUUGAUUACGUCCCUGCCCUUUGUACACACCGCCCGUCGCACCUACCGAUUGAAUGGUCCGGUGAAUUCUUCGGACUGCGGCUUUGACUCGAUUUCGGUCGAGGCGUUGCUGCGGGAAGUUGAUUAAACCUUACCAUUUAGAGGAAGGUGAAGUCGUAACA